GACACUUUGAAGAAAUAGAAAAUGAUUUUUAAAAGAUUGCUUUAGAUAAAUAGAACUUGAGCUAGCAAAAGUGGCCCUUUCCAGACGUCCAGCCAGGAAACCCCAGGUGCAAGUGAAUCAGCAGACAUGUUGUCUCAUCUGAGACGGUACAAGAUCCGUGUGUCCACACACAGCCGGUCGUGGCUGAGUUCGUGGCUAUGCCUUCCUUCAGAUGUGGCCGGGCUCAGGCUGAUUCAGGGAGAAACACUGCUUCUCAUUGAGUCACAAGGCCGUCCUGGAGCUGUGCUGGACUUUGCUUGGAGUAAGGACAUUUGAAGGUAGAAGCUCACGUCUAAACUGCUCUGUAAAUCCUGCCACUCCACACGUAACGCCAUGAACUCAAAUAAAUUGCUGCCAGCUGUGCAGAAGGCCCAAGAUAAACAGCUUGCUGAAGGAGAGACAGCACGGAGGAUUUUUCUUAAAGGGAAGACAAUGCCAAGGAUCUGCUUCCACGCCUUCCAUGAUGGCUCCACUCCUAGCUUCAGUCCCCACCCUGUGCCCUACAUUUGUCCUGGGCUCGCUCCUAGCACAGUGUUCCAUCUGCUGUUGGCCAC
rnacentral:lncRNA from 1 species